rnacentral:pre_miRNA from 1 species
ACAUUAUUUAGACCGUCGGUCUACCGAGCAAUUGCACAAGCUUGGUGGAAGUUCUUCCUUUUUUUGU